GAUGAACGCUGGCGGCGUGCCUAAUGCAUGCAAGUCGAGCGAACGGACGAGAAGCCUGCUUCUCUGAUGUUAGCGGCGGACGGGUGAGUAACACGUGGAUAACCUACCUAUAAGACUGGGUUAACUUCGGGAAACCGGAGCUAAUACCGGAUAAUAGUGUGAACCGCAUGGUUCAAAAGUAAAAGAAGGUCUUGCUGUCACUUAUAGAUGUAUCCGCGCUGCAUUAGCUAGUUGGUAAGGUAACGGCUUACCAAGGCAACGAUGCAUAGCCGACCUGAGAGCGUGAUCGGCCACACUGGAACUGAGACACGGUCCAGACUAAGACGGGAGGCAGCAGUAGGGAAUCUUCCGUAAUGGGCGAAAGCAUGACGGCGCAACGCAGCGCGAGUGAUGAAGGUCUUCGGAUCGUAAAACUCUGUUAUCAGGGAAGAACAUAUGUGUAAGUAACUGUGCCCAUCUUGACGGUACCUAAUCAGAAGGCCACGGCUAACUACGUG
rnacentral:rRNA from 1 species